rnacentral:rRNA from 1 species
UCCGUAGGCGGGAUGAUAAGUCAGUGGUGAAAGCCCACAGCUCAACUGUGGAACUGCCAUUGAAACUGUCAUUCUUGAAUCUAGUUGAAGUGAACGGAAUGUAACAUGUAGCGGUGAAAUGCAUAGAUAUGUUACAGAACACCAAUUGCGAAGGCAGUUCACUAAGCUAGUAUUGACGCUGAGGGACAAAAGCGUGGGUAGCGAACAGGAUUAGAUACCCUGGUAGUCC